GUUGCUCAGUAGUAUGGUUGGGUGAGACCCGAGGGCGAGACCCGUGAGUUUUUAGCAGCGCAGGUGGGACCUGGUGAGGACCUUAGUGUCAAGAUAGGGGAUCGGGGAUCCCGAGUUUGUAUCAUUUGCAUACCUUGGAUAUUUGUAUGGUAGUUAGGGGGGUUGUGCUCUAUUAAAGAAGGUUUCGAAGGAUGCAGUAACUGUAGCAUGCUUGGGAGGGAUUUGGUUCGUUUCGUUAGUUCGGAGUGGUGCAGUGAUUGUGAUGGAUUGGCUAAAGCCCUAGCUAUGGCAGGGCUUGGGUUCCUCAGUGGAUGGGUUAUGGAAUGGUAGCGAAGAGCAGGAUCUCUUUGAGUUUUGAGCAACAAGGGGUAAGCAGGAUCGAAGUGGGGGAGAAUUCUCCGGGUGUGCCCAGGGAGGAGCACACAGACUCAGAAUGAGUGCGUGACCUCCGAGAGGGAAGAGAGAGGUAGUUCAGCGUUUGUGGGAUUGAGGAUUUCAGGGUCGGGAGUUUCAGAAACUCCAUAUCAGCUAGCGCGUGGGAUGGUAUGGUUGGUUAUGAUUGAGAAUUCAGAUUGUGGAUCGCCUGAAGGACUCACGGAAGUCGGAAUAAGGAUCUUGAGAAGUCAAUGGCACGUGGGUGCCUUUGUAUUAGCAGUCAGUGGUAGGGAGUGUUGUAAGACUACGGGGCAGCCGUAGCAUUCACUAGCAGUCGGCAAUGAAUGGUGAUGUAAGACUACGGGUAAGCCGUAGCAUUCCUUAGUAGUUUCGUUAGCGGAGUCGGGGCGAGGCCCUUAUCUCCUAGUGAUCAGGUAGGGAUCAGGAUCGGGUAGUGGAUGAGAAUGUUAGGGAGUUGCCUGUAUAGCUCUAGAGAGGUGAGACCUUGGGAGAGGCCGCUCCAGGAUAUAGUUGGGUGAGACCCGUGGGCGAGGCCCGUAUGAGAUUAGCGGUGCAGGUGAGACCUGGGAGCAGGGUUGCUCAGUAGUAUGGUUGGGUGAGACCCGAGGGCGAGACCCGUGAGUUUUUAGCAGCGCAGGUGGGACCUGGUGAGGACCUUAGUGUCAAGAUAGGGGAUCGGGGAUCCCGAGUUUGUAGUGCCUGGAUAGCAGGACUGAUUGAGCAGUUAUAGAUGGUCGAGGUAUUCUCGGUAGUCGCUGAGAGCGACCAGGGAUGGUAUUGGGUUUAGCUACCGGUGGGAGCCGGUAAUCCAGUCAUUGAUAGGUUGGUAGGGACCAGAGCGGUCCCGGUUUAUCAGGAAGUCAGUUGGGAAAUAAUUGAAUUGCCAGUCGGUGGCGGUGCGAGUAUGCAGCGUAUGGUGGGCUUCAGUUAGUUGAGUCGAGGGGUGCUCGACACCAAGUGUUGGCAGGAAGGAGUGUCAGUGAGUGCUGACGGUGGUGACCCGUUCUGGGAAUAGCAGGGAGGUGAUGGAGUUAGUGAAGGAUAGGACCUUCACAGUGUCAAAGGAAAAGUCAGUUAUGAGGCCUUGCCUUGGGAAUGCAAGGGAUUGCGCAAGGAAAGAAGUGGAGAACCUCUGCGGGUUCAGUGCGGUAUUGGUGGAAGACCAGCGCAGGUAGGCGGCUGGUGUUGGGUAUAGGAGGCAGAUCACAGGCGGUGGGCCACGGUAAACUUCGAGGACGAAGUUUAGUUUAAGUGGGGGAGAGUUGUAACACCCAGGAUUUUGAAAGCCAAGAAAGUAAAGGAAACCCUAAAUUUAAGAGGGACUCGACGAGUCAAGGAAGGACUCGGCGAGUCGGAGCGGGAUCCGGGUCGACAAGGAAGUGACCAACUCGACGAGUCGGCCAAGGUGACUCGGCGAGUCUGGUCUGUGCGAGGAAAACCCUAAUUCUGGGAGUUGUAUCCUAUUUAAAGGGUGUUAUGUCCCUCCCUCAGCCCCCAUAUCACUCCAGAGGACCUGUAAACCCUAUAAUACGUGUGAGCUUCCAUUAUUGAGAGAAAUAGCUUUGGAGGAAGGAUACUUUGGAGAGGAAACUUGAAGAUCAAGAAGGUUGCUUCAAGGGAGAGGUGUGUGCUCGAGAUCUACUUCAGUAUUGUGUUCAUCUUGGAGGUAUUAAGCUGCCAUUUUCCCUUCUUUGCAUCUAGAUCUAUUUUGUCAUGAGAUUUGGGGGUUUUAUGGUUGUUUGAGGCCCAAAUCGGGUUAGGGGCUUAGAUAUGUUGUUGCCACUUCAGAUCUAUGGUUGGGUGAGUCCAUUAUGUCAUAAAGCAUCAGGAGAUGAGUAGUUGGUGAAGCCCUUGUGUCCUUAAACCAAACCCUAAUAUGUUUUGAGCCUAGAUCUCUUUGGUUAUACGUAAAGUUUGCAACUUUACGUAGGGAUGGAGUUUUGGAAGUAUGGAUCUAUGGAUUGGAGUCCCUGCAUGACUCAAAAACCCUCUGCAUGUUGAGAGAUCUGAAUGGACUCGGCGAGUCCUUUGAGUGGACUCGGCGAGUACCAUGAAGACGAGGAGGAACUCGACGAGUGGGAUGAACAGCUCGUCGAGUCGGAUGAAGAUGGGCAUGAACUCGGCGAGUUGGAUGAACAACUCG
rnacentral:lncRNA from 1 species